rnacentral:tRNA from 1 species
GUCUCGUUCGUCUAGAGGCCUAGGACACCGCCCUUUCACGGCGGCAACACGGGUUCGAAUCCCGUACGAGACGCCA